UACGGAGGGUGCGAGCGUUGUCCGGAAUCACUGGGCGUAAAGGGCGCGUAGGCGGCCUGGUAAGUAGGGGGUGAAAUCCUGCGGCUUAACCGCAGGGCUGCCUUCUAAACUGUCAGGCUGGAGCACAGUAGAGGCAGGUGGAAUUCCCGGUGUAGCGGUGGAAUGCGUAGAGAUCGGGAAGAACAUCAGUGGCGAAGGCGGCCUGCUGGGCUGUUGCUGACGCUGAGGCGCGACAGCGUGGGGAGCAAACAGG
rnacentral:rRNA from 2 species